rnacentral:rRNA from 1 species
CCUACGGGGGUCAGCAGUGGGGAAUAUUGGACAAUGGGGGGAACCCUGAUCCAGCCAUGCCGCGUGUGUGAAGAAGGCCCUCGGGUUGUAAAGCACUUUCAGUGAGGAAGAACGCCUGGUGGUUAAUACCCAUCAGGAAAGACAUCACUCACAGAAGAAGCACCGGCUAACUCCGUGCCAGCAGCCGCGGUAAUACGGAGGGUGCGAGCGUUAAUCGGAAUUACUGGGCGUAAAGCGCGCGUAGGUGGCUUGAUAAGCCGGUUGUGAAAGCCCCGGGCUCAACCUGGGAACGGCAUCCGGAACUGUCAAGCUAGAGUGCAGGAGAGGAAGGUAGAAUUCCCGGUGUAGCGGUGAAAUGCGUAGAGAUCGGGAGGAAUACCAGUGGCGAAGGCGGCCUUCUGGACUGACACUGACACUGAGGUGCGAAAGCGUGGGUAGCAAACAGGAUUAGAUACCCUGGUAGUC